rnacentral:rRNA from 1 species
AUUGAACGCUGGCGGCAGGCCUAACACAUGCAAGUCGAGCGGGGUUUUCGGACCUAGCGGCGGACGGGUGAGUAAUGCGUAGGAAGCUGCCCGAUAGAGGGGGAUACCAGUUGGAAACGACUGUUAAUACCGCAUAAUGUCUACGGACCAAAGUGUGGGACCUUCGGGCCACAUGCUAUCGGAUGCGCCCACGUGGGAUUAGCUAGUUGGUGAGGUAAUGGCUAACCAAGGCGACGAUCUCUAGCUGGUUUGAGAGGAUGAUCAGCCACACUAGAACUGAGACACGGUCCAGACUCCUACGGGAGGCAGCAGUGGGGAAUAUUGGACAAUGGGCGCAAGCCUGAUCCAGCCAUGCCGCGUGUGUGAAGAAGGCCUUCGGGUUGUAAGGCACUUUCAGCGAGGAGGAAGGGGUGUGUGUUAAUAGUACACACCUUUGACGUUACUCGCAGAAGAAGCACCGGCUAACUCUGUGCCAGCCGCCGCUGUAACAC